GACGAACGCUGGCGGCGUGCUUAACACAUGCAAGUCGAACGGAAAGGCCCUGCUUUUGUGGGGUGCUCGAGUGGCGAACGGGUGAGUAACACGUGAGUAACCUGCCCUUGACUUUGGGAUAACUUCAGGAAACUGGGGCUAAUACCGGAUAGGAGCUCCUGCUGCAUGGUGGGGGUUGGAAAGUUUCGGCGGUUGGGGAUGGACUCGCGGCUUAUCAGCUUGUUGGUGGGGUAGUGGCUUACCAAGGCUUUGACGGGUAGCCGGCCUGAGAGGGUGACCGGCCACAUAGGGCAAGGGGAACGGCCAGGGGGCCACCGGGGGGAAGGGGGGGGAAAUGUUGAAAAAAGGGCGGCAGCCAGAAGCAGGAACCCCGGGGGGGGGAUGGCGGCUUUAGGGUGUGAAACGGCUUUCGCCGGGAACCAAGGGUAAGGACGGGAAAGGGAGAAAAAGCACCGGCUAAAUUAGGG
rnacentral:rRNA from 1 species